rnacentral:rRNA from 1 species
UACGUAGGGUGCAAGCGUUAAUCGGAAUUACUGGGCGUAAAGCGCACGUAGGCGGCUUCUUAAGUCGGUGGUGAAAUCCUGGAGCUCAACUCCAGAACUGCCUUCGAUACUGGGAGCUCGAGUCCGGGAGAGGUGAGUGGAACUGCGAGUGUAGAGGUGAAAUUCGUAGAUAUUCGACAAGAACACCAGUGGCGAAGGCGGCUCACUGGCCCGGUACUGACGCUGAGGUGCGAAAGCGUGGGGAGCAAACAGG